GAUGAACGCUGGCGGCGUGCCUAAUACAUGCAAGUCGAGCGAAUGAUGAGGAGCUUGCUCCUCUGAUUUAGCGGCGGACGGGUGAGUAACACGUGGGUAAUCUGCCUGUAAGACGGGGAUAACUCCGGGAAACCGGGGCUAAUACCGGAUAACAAGAGGAAAUGCAUAUUUCCUUUUUGAAAGUCGGUUUACGCUGACACUUACAGAUGAGCCCGCGGCGCAUUAGCUAGUUGGUGAGGUAAUGGCUCACCAAGGCGACGAUGCGUAGCCGACCUGAGAGGGUGAUCGGCCACACUGGGACUGAGACACGGCCCAGACUCCUACGGGAGGCAGCAGUAGGGAAUCUUCGGCAAUGGGCGAAAGCCUGACCGAGCAACGCCGCGUGAGCGAUGAAGGCCUUCGGGUCGUAAAGCUCUGUUGUUAGGGAAGAACAAGUAUGAGAGUAACUGCUCGUACCUUGACGGUACCUAACCAGAAAGCCACGGCUAACUACGUGCCAGCAGCCGCAGUAAAAC
rnacentral:rRNA from 1 species